UUCUCUCAUUCAAUCCUUAAUCUUGUUACCAAACCAAACAAGGGGAUUUAUUGAGAAAGAGAAAGAGAGAGAGAGAGAAGUGUGUGUAGUAUUUUUAAUUUUGACAUGUUUUUGUUUGGUAAUAUUUUAACAUUAUAUAUAUACAAAAUCACCUGGAGACAGGAAAAAAUUAAAAAAACUUGAGUCCCCUUCUCCCCUCCCCACCCUACCCUAUUAAUUAUACCUAAUACCCUAAAUAACUAUAGCUAAUAGAUAUGCCCUAUUUUUACUCUUUCACUUUCUCUCUCUCUCUCUUUCAUAUUUUCUCUCUCCUUUUCCUACUGUGUUAGAUUUCUGAAGAUUUUUUGAGUCACUUUCCUAUCUCUGACUCUCAUGGAGAUAGUGACCCAUCAUCUCUCCUCUACAAUAAAACUCAACACAAAAUAACUAAAUAAAUACACAAAUAAUAAUAAAUUUCCCUCUUAUUCUAGAGCUGAGCCACCCAAGUCAUUAAAAUGUGAAGAUCAAGUAGCUAUAUAUAGCUACUAGGGUUUUCAGCAGCAAAUCUCACAUUAUUAAGUUUUAGGGUUUCAAGUUUUAAGGCAUCAAUCAAGGAUAUAUUUUUCAACACACACAAGAAGACUUACAGUUACAGUUAAGCCUAUAUACUUUUACUAAUAUUUAUUUAUUUAUUUAUUUAUUUAUUAUUUAUUUUUGCUCUCUCUAUAUAUACAUGCUAUUGCUAUAUACAUAUAUAAUAAUACUGCUCAAGCUCAAUUAUUGAGUCUUGGUAUUUUUCAUUUUUGCUUUUCCUCUCUGCAUUUAUAUUUAGUAUUAUUAUAUAUAGAGAGAUGGAUUAUAUGUACAGCUAGGUAUGCUAGCUCUCUUACUGAAACCAUUCUCAUCAAGGGUACAUUCUGAUCAGAUCAGAUAUAUUAUUAUUUGUUUUCGUUUUUGAUUUCAUAUUCAUUGUGCUUUCGCUAUCAGUUAUCUAAUUUGAUCUAUCUAUAUAUAUAUUUAUAUGUAAGGUAUGUGUGGGGAUUUAAGCUUUCUUUUUAAUUAAUCUAACAGAAAAUGGGUUUUGUUUUGUGUCUGUUUCCUUCUUAUUAUUGGGUCAAUAAUUUGUUAAAGUUCAGUAGUACUUCACUGAAUCACUGAUCAGUUUUUCUGAAAAAGAAUUAAAGCAGAUUUUGAUGUUACUGUUAUAAAUUAAUAAGCUAUUUUCUAUAAAUAUAUUUAUUAUUUCUUAAACUAUAGUCUUAUAUAUAUAUAGCUUACAUUAACCUGUUAUUAAUUAAUUAAGUGUAAGAAUUUUCUCUGAUCAUAAUCAUUAAAUAUAUAUAACAUCUCUUUUUCUCUAAGUUACUUAAUUUAAGAGAAAAAUUAAUAUUAAUUUGAAUCAAAGCAAGGAAUAUAUGUGUUUAUACAAUAUGAUGAUUAGUCUAUUCAUGAGGCGUAGUACUGGUAUUAUUUUUCUGGAACAUAUAUCUGGGGCCACCGAGAUUGACCGAUCAUAUCAUACAAUAAUAAUAUAUGCUUGAUUAGAUAUAUAUGAUCAUAUAUAUUUAUAUUGGUGAUCGACGUACUGGUAUAUAUAUGAUCUUUGAUUGUGAUCUUGAUCAUGAGUCAUUUUAGAAUUACUAUAUAUACAGCUAGAUUUUUAGUAUAUAUAUAUAUUUUCAAUACUUUAUUUGAAACAAAAGAGUUUAUUAUUACAAUUAUAUAUGCCUAUGGCUAUGGUCUCACUAAUUAAUAUUUGAGAUGUGUAUGUAUAUAUUAUAUAUAAUGGUGAGGAAGAGCUUCCUUCAGCCCACUCAUGGAUAUGACAUAAUGGGGUUGUUGAAAUAACUGCCGACUCAUUCAUUCAAGCACUCAGUAGAGAAAUGGUGAUCAACAGAGACACAGAGAGAGAGAGAGAGAGAGAUUCAUAUGUAUAACUUUUUCUACUGUGGUUGUGUGAAUGAAGCGGGAGAGAUUUUGCAUCCCUCUUUCUCUGUGCUUGGACUGAAGGGAGCUCCUCCUUAAUUAAUAAUAAUGCUAUCAUUUAACAUCAAUUAUUUCUACUAUAUAUAAUUUUACUUGUUCAUAUAUACAUCACUGUAUAUACAUUUUCUGACUCAGUAAUUAAUUGCAGGCCAGGUCUAAAACCUUACCCCACUUGGUUCAUUUUUUUUUCCCCUUCUUCUACUUUUUCACUUCAUGGGAGUAAAAGUCAUAACUACUGUAUAAUAAUUGAUCAAUGACACUUGUAAUCUUAUACAACUUAUCUCAUCAAGUUUUUGGAGCAAGCUAGCUCCCACACCUUCCCUAUUUUCCCCCCUUGUUUGAUCACAAUGAAUUGUUUUUUCUUAAGAAAAAAAAUCAGUAGUACUCUUUUAGCAUAAUACACUAAAGUGAAUUGGUCUCUACACACUUGAUAUAUGUAUAUAAAUAUAUAUUGUGUUGGAGCAGACAUGAAAACAUGUCUUUUCCAAGUUCCAACUCAUAUAUAAUUAGUCUUCUCGUUCUUCAAUGCAUCUUAAUUCAUCACAGGAACCACCAACUCAAGUACUCCUUUAUCUCAUGACUUUCUAUCUCUGAAUACUACAUAACAGUACUUUCAAGCUUUUUUAAUUUAUUUAUUUUUUGAAAAAUUAAAAUACUACAUGUAUAAGCUUUUAAGCAUAUUGUUGCAGAAAAGUCCUACAAAAUAUUCCAUUACAGUAGUUGAUAGUUUCUCUUAUCAUAGAAAGCAACGCAUAUUUGUUGGCCACUUUAUAAUUUGUUUUUUCUUAUAUAUAUAUAUGCUUAGUUAAAUACGUACAUAUAUAUAAGAUACGCCAUAUAUAUAAGCUGCAGCUAGAGCAUCAAGCACCAUGCAAGUGAGACCCCGCCCACCAAGUUCCAAGGUUCAAGCAUAUGUAAUGGGGAUUUGGAGAGGAUUGUGGAGAAAAUAUGCAAACCUGAGUGACGGUGAUAACGUGGUGUAAGGGGAAGAUCGAGACUUGUAGCUUGUGAGAAAAAUGAAUUACCGCCGCGACACCACCCACUGAGUCACAAGCCUUUAAGAGCCGCGAUUGAUGAGGCAACGACUCCAAAAAGUAGGAAUUUUCUCUAGAAAAUUUAGGGUUGCAACACAGUAUGUUGAGUCGCAACUCCUGCAAGAAUCCGAGAACACGAAAAAAUUUUCGUUCAAAGUAGGGUCGUGAAACAAUCUUAAAAGGUUGUGGCACACCUAUCAGUACGCGUGAAGAAAUUCAAAUUUGGAAGGACAAUUUUAUCUUUUCAUCAAAAAUUUCUAAAUUACUAUUUAAACAACACUAUUAGUGCGAUUUUAGAGAGUUUAGACUAUUCAAAACUUAGAAAAACACUCUAUACAAUUGUAGAAAAACAUUAUUGGCACGUAAGGAUUGACAAACUUAUCUCAAUUCUUCUUCUUUUCUCUUCCUUUUUCUAUUUAUGAUAUCAUUUUACUGUUAUGUCAUGAAUAUUUUAAUGAUGAACUAAUUUUACUUUUAGAAUUUUAAUAAAUUCUCUCGAACCUCUAUUAUUUAAUUAAUGCAGUUUUUAUGUGUUCUUC